UGGAAAUAUUUGAUUUCAGCAUCAUCAGUAAUUAAGAAUGACAUUUGAUUUUUCAUUUUUGUUGCCUUUUGUAACAGCCAUGACCCGGUGCGUUCACGUGCAUUUAUUUUCUUGCUUUUUUCGCUUUCAGUGACUCACUUCAUCACUUGUCAAAUUUCCAAUAGACUGAGACUUUGAAAGAGAGAAAGUGAAGGAAAGGAAGAGCCAUGGAGCCCCCUCAAGCACAAUCCAUUGAAAUCUCAAGCACGAAUGAUCCACAAGACGUGGUCAUCAAUGAAUGUUGUUCUUGCUGUUAUGACUGUACACAGGGUAUCUUUGAUUUCUUGUGCUGUAACUUCUGUUGAAGUCAUGGGGACAUGUUUGUAGAUCCUUAUUUAUCAGAGAAUUGAUGUAUGAUCAUAAAUUAGUUAAGGAAAAAGUUGCGCUUUUUAAUUAGUUAUUGAGAUAUGUAGAACAUUCUUCCUUUGAUUUCCUUGUCUUGUGUUCUGGGGUGCCUUUUCACAAGCAGUGUUUGAUUUUAUUCCA